GACGAACGCUGGCGGCGUGCUUAACACAUGCAAGUCGAACGGAAAGGCCCUGCUUUUGUGGGGUGCUCGAGUGGCGAACGGGUGAGUAACACGUGAGUAACCUGCCCUUGACUUUGGGAUAACUUCAGGAAACUGGGGCUAAUACCGGAUAGGAGCUCCUGCUGCAUGGUGGGGGUUGGAAAGUUUCGGCGGUUGGGGAUGGACUCGCGGCUUAUCAGCUUGUUGGUGGGGUAGUGGCUUACCAAGGCUUUGACGGGUAGCCGGCCUGAGAGGGUGACCGGCCACAUUGGGACUGGGAUACGGCGCGGACUCCUACGGAAGGAAGAAGUGGAGAAUAUUGCACAAUGGGCGGAAGCCGGAUGCAGCAACGCCGCGUGCGGGAUGACGGCCUUCGCGUUGUAAACCGCUUUCGCCUGUGACGAAGCGUGAGUGACGGUAAUGGGUAAAGAAGCACCGGCUAACUACGUG
rnacentral:rRNA from 1 species